ACUUAAACUAAGGACUUUAUUCAUCAACACAGAAACGGUGUCGUGUGACUGUGUGAUCAAAUGGAAGUUAAUAUUGGAGGGACUGUUAGUUAGAGAGGUGGUUAUAGUUCCUGAAUUCAUGGAAUUAGUUCCUUAUAAUCUGGAUCUUAAGCUAUUCAGUUUUAGGAAAUGAUUAUACUCUAUAAAUAGUAGAAUCCUUACUCAGAUCAUUAUU